rnacentral:rRNA from 1 species
AUGCCCGGACACCACUCACUCUCAAUGGAGCUACCACCAUGGACGCCCUUCCUCGGCGUCGCGCUCGCCACCGUGCUCUUCCUCAAGGCCGUCUUCCGUCGCAGCCGUCAGGCAUACAACCUCCCGCCGGGCCCUAAACCAUGGCCGAUCAUCGGCAACCUGAACCUGAUGGGCGCGCUCCCGCACCGCUCCAUCCACGCGCUCUCCAAGAGGUACGGCCCUCUCAUGUACCUCCGGUUUGGAUCGUUCCCCGUCGUGAUCGGCUCGUCGGUUGAGAUGGCCAAGUUCUUCCUCAAGACCCACGACAUGGUGUUCCUCGACCGGCCCAAGAUGGCCGCCGGCAAGUACACGACGUACAACUACAGAGACAUGACCUGGUCCCCGUACGGCGCCUACUGGCGCCAGGCGCGCAAGGUGUGCCUCACCGAGCUCUUCAGCGCCAAGCGGCUCGAGUCAUAUGAGUACAUCCGGAGCCAGGAGAUGCGCGCGCUCCUGCGAGACCUGCACGAGGCCUCCCGGUCCCGGCGCGCCGUGGUGCUCAAGGACUACUUGUCGACCUUGAGCCUGAACGUGAUCACGCGCAUGGUGCUGGGCAAGAAGUACCUGCACAGGGAGGCAACGGACGAAGGGGGCUCCGGCUCCGCGACGACCCUGGCGGAGUUCAAGCGGAUGGUCGACGAGUGGUUCUUGCUCAACGGCGUGCUCAACAUCGGCGACUCCAUCCCGUGGCUGGACUGGCUGGACCUCCAGGGGUACAUCAAGAGGAUGAAGAAGCUGAGCAAGAUGUUUGAUCGGUUCCUCGAACAUGUCGUGGACGAGCACAACGACAGACGCCGAGUCGAGGGGGAGAGCUUCGUCUCGAAGGACAUGGUGGACGUGCUACUCGAGAUAGCCAGAGACCCCAAUCUUGAGGUGCAGAUCGACCGGGAUAGCGUCAAGGCUUUCAUUCAGGACCUCCUCGUCGGCGGCACGGAGAGCUCGGCGGUCGCAGUCGAGUGGGCGAUCUCGGAGCUCCUGAAGAAGCCGGAGGUGUUGACCAAGGCGACCGAGGAGCUGGACCGCGUGGUGGGGCGAGCGCGCUGGGUGACGGAGAAGGACAUCGCGAGCCUCCACGUAUCGUCAAGGAGACGCUGCGGCUGCAUCCGGUGGCGCCGAUGCUGA